rnacentral:rRNA from 1 species
AUGGGUAUCCAUCUCCUCAGCAGCUGCCAAGGCGCUAGCGCCACUGCUCGUGUUAGCAUUCAUCUCCCUCAUGAUCCACGGAGGCUGGUGCUGCUCAGGCGUCCCAAGAGCAAGAUCGCAUGUUCUCGUGGCAGAAUUGUUGGUGCGUCGGCGCCGGCUCUCCCGCCGGGGCCUGUGCCGUGGCCGGUAGUGGGGAACCUUCCCGAGAUGUUACUCAGCAAGCCGGCAUUCCGGUGGAUCCAUCGGAUGAUGGAGGACAUGGGCACCGACAUCACCUGCGUUCGCCUCGGCAGCGUGCACGUCAUCGCCAUCACCUGCCCCAGCAUCGCCCGCGAGGUACUCAGGACGCAGGACGCCAACUUCGCCUCCCGCCCGCUCACCUUCGCCUCCGGCACCAUCAGCGGCGGGUACAAGGACGCCGUGCUCUCGCCCUUCGGCGACCAGUGGAAGAAGAUGCGCCGCGUGCUCACCUCGGAGAUCGUCUGCCCGUCCCGCCACCGGUGGCUCCACGACCGCCGCGCCGACGAGGCCGACAACCUCAGCCGCUACGUCCACACCCUCGCCACCGGGUCUGCGUCUGGCGUGGACGUGAGGCACGUGGCGAGGCACUACUGCGGCAACGUCAUCCGCCGGCUAGUCUUCGGCCGGCGGUACUUCGGCGAGCCUCGGCCGGACGGUGGGCCGGGCCUGAUGGAGGAGGAGCACAUGGACGCCGUGUUUACGUCCCUCGGGCUCCUCUUCGCGUUCUGCGUCUCAGACUACCUCCCGUGGCUGCGCGGUCUCGACCUGGAUGGCCACGAGAAGGCGGUCAAGGAGGCGAACACGACGGUGAACCGGCUCCACGACACAGUCAUCGACGAGCGAUGGAGGCAGUGGAAGUCCGGCGAGAGGAGGGAGCUCGACGACUUCCUCGACGUGCUCAUCACGCUCAAAGACGCUCAGGGGAAGCCGGCGCUCACCAUCGAAGAGGUCAAAGCGCACUCGCUGGACAUAAUAUUAGCGGCCACCGACAAUCCGUCGAAUGCGGUGGAGUGGGCGCUGGCGGAGAUGGCGAAUGCACCGGAGGUGAUGGCAAAGGCGGUGGAGGAGAUGGACCGGGUGGUGGGCCGAGAGCGGCUGGUGCAGGAAUCGGACAUCCCGCAACUCAACUAUGCCAAGGCGUGCAUCCGCGAGGCGUUUCGGCUGCAUCCCGUCGCCCCCUUCAAUCUGCCGCACGUUGCGCUUGACGACACUACUGUUGCCGGCUACCACGUGCCCAAGGGCAGCCACGUCAUCCUCAGCCGCAUCGGGCUUGGUCGAAACCCGGUCAUCUGGGAGGAGCCACUUCUCUUCAAACCAGAGCGCCACAUUAAUAUGGCUGAAGGCGGCGAUGUGGUGCUCACUGAGAAUGAAUUGCGGUUCAUCUCCUUCAGCACCGGCCGCCGUGGGUGCAUCGCAUCAUCGCUAGGGACGGACAUGUGCAUGAUGCUCUUCGGGCGGCUAAUCCAAGGGUUUACUUGGAGCAAGCCGCAGGGGGUAGCAGCCAUCAAUCUCAGCGAGUCGGAGCAUGAUUUAUUCCUAACCAAGCCGUUGGUGCUCCACGCAGAGCCGCGCCUGCCGGUGCACCUCUACUCUGCCACUGACAUCUAA